ACAUUUGGUUGGAGGCCACAUUGAUUCUUUCAGUUUUAUUUCAGCUUCAUAAGCAACCUCCUCCUGAGCUAAAAUUACAUUGAGGGCUUGUACCAAGAUAGAAAUGACAAUAUAAAAUGUUCUUGUGCCAAAACUGAAGUACUCCUUAUUGCUCCUCCUUGUGAAUUUAUUGCUUGUGGACUUGCCAGAUUGCACUUGGACACAGAAUCUCUUCAGAGUGAGGGAAGGGCACCUUUUCCCAUCUGCCUGGUCAGAAGGCCAAGCAUCACUCAAGCCAAUUUGCAUCACUGCAUUGGGAAUUAACAUUUCCUUUACUGUGCCUGUCCCUCUGCCAUCUCAUCUCUUAUGGCCCCCUGGUUCUCCCCUCCAUCUCAUGGAAGGACUGCACAGCCCCAUAGCUCCUUGCUCUCCGCAACAAAUACUUGUCAGAGUGGAACUGAACUGUAACUACCAGCCAAUCCUCACACUGGUCCAUGGGUACGUGGCUGCUGGCACAGGUCCUUUUUUCAGGUAUAAAUAUCAGCAUUAACAUCUGCAUUUAUUGUGUUUCAUGGGAGGGUUUUCACUGGAGUCCGUGACCUCCCCAUUUUAUUGUGCUUUAGCUUUUUUGAUAAACUGGUUGAUAUUUUGAUAGAUUUUCUGUCCUGUACAUCAGUUCUUUGCUAUCUAUAAUAAAAUAACUGACUGUU